UUAGAGGUGGCAAAGGAGCAGUUCUAGGCAUUUCUUGUUUGGAUCAUUUUGGAUUCAAGCCUUUCGGGUUUGGGUUAGUCUUUUUCUUUUGAGGUUUUAUGAAAGAUGCGACUACUCCAACAUGCUUUUCGAGGUCAUGGUUGGCGUUUUCUUUAGGCUCGAAUCUUUUGGAUUCAGAUUUUUUCCUUUUCUUUUUUCAAAUUGAAUUUGAGCUUUUUGAGCGGUUUUUCAAGUUUGAGUUCGUUUUGCUGUCUCUAGAUAGAAUAGUAAACAUCAGGUAGGCUUUUGGAGAUAUUCAGCCCCUCCAAAAUUUGAAGCCAUGAUAUUUAGCCAAUAUGAAAGUGACCUCUACUUGAUGAAGCACUGUUUGCCAAACCCUGGCAUGUGUUUUCAGCAUUUGUGUUGUACAAAGUUAGGCGUGGGAUGUUCCCAAAUUGUACAUGUCACGGUUGAACCGUAAUUGCAUGCGACUCCUUUGACUUUCCCCCGAAUUCAUCAAACACAACCUGUUCCAAUGUAGCAGGUUGAAAUUAGACGGUCCAAACUAAUCUGGAGUAUCAUUCUGUUUUCCAAAUUGUGGUCAUCUUAUGGGAUUUAGUUAACAAAGGAAUAUUGAUCAGCGUUACAAUUUUGCAACCUCUUUCUUUUAUUUCCUGGGCUUUAUUUAUUUAUUGGUGGGUGCAUUCCAUUCAGUUGGUUAACCAUUACUGUAUUUUUAAGAGGGUAGAAAGGUUCUUGUUUCCUAUUUCAGGUGUUGCUUUCUAUCUGCUCCCUCUUGACGGACCCAAACCCAGAUGACCCUCUGGUUCCGGAAAUCGCUCACAUGUACAAGACAGACAGCUAAGUAUGAGUCAACUGCUAGGAUCUGGACCCAGAAAUAUGCAAUGGGCUAGUCUAAUAAAUUGGUAAGAAAAAGUUUAGGAUAUUGUUUCCUCAUU
rnacentral:lncRNA from 1 species